CAAAGUUAAAAGAAAGCAUACUAUUACAAUUAAUCAUAGUAAGCAAGCAAGCAUAACUCGUAGCAUUCACAUUGACAUGUUGGCACAAUGUAAUCAUGAAACAUAUUUACAAAAUAUAUUACAUUGGAUAACCGGGUUUCCAAAUAUGACCAAUAUAAUGUGUAGUAUAAAGCUAUCACCCACCAAACACAACCAAUCAUAGCC
rnacentral:lncRNA from 1 species